rfam:Canis lupus familiaris chromosome 2, whole genome shotgun sequence.
GUGCUUCCUUCGGCAGCACAUACAUAUACUAAAAUUGGAAUGAUACAGGGAAGAUUAGCAUGGCUCCUACACAAGGAUGACACACAAAUUCAUGACGUGUUCCAUAUUUUU